CCUACGGGUGGCAGCAGUGAGGAAUAUUGGUCAAUGGACGAGAGCCUGAACCAGCCAAGUAGCGUGAAGGAUGACUGCCCUAUGGGUUGUAAACUUCUUUUAUAAGGGAAUAAAAUGUUCCACGUGUGGGAUUUUGUAUGUACCAUAUGAAUAAGGAUCGGCUAACUCCGUGCCAGCAGCCGCGGUAAUACGGAGGAUCCGAGCGUUAUCCGGAUUUAUUGGGUUUAAAGGGAGCGUAGGUGGGUUGUUAAGUCAGUUGUGAAAGUUUGCGGCUCAACCGUAAGAUUGCAGUUGAAACUGGCAGUCUUGAGUUCAGUAGAGGUGGGCGGAAUUCGUGGUGUAGCGGUGAAAUGCUUAGAUAUCACGAAGAACUCCGAUUGCGAAGGCAGCUCACUGGACUGCAACUGACACUGAGGCUCGAAAGUGUGGGUAUCAAACAGGAUUAGAUACCCCUGUAGUC
rnacentral:rRNA from 1 species